GCCUGGGUUCCUGCACAGCCAGCUGUGUACUUCGGGUGACAACCUUGAUGCGUGCGACCGACUCACAGAAACCCAACGGCUCCAGGACUAGUGAUUGACGUGCUGGAAUGGCUCUGGACUGAAUGAACAGACACGGAGCAAGACUGGGCUGGACCCUGGGCAGAUCUCAGCCUCCAGGAGGAGCAACCUGGCUGUCCUAACCUGCGAUGCUGGGAGCGAGGGAGAUUUAACACUGCUGCAGAUGGCUGCCUGCAGCCUGGCACAAGGACUGUGGCUGCUGCUGCUUCUCCAGGAUACCCAGACAGCCCCACAGACAUCAUUAACCCCAUCUCAAUUCUGUGAUACUCUUGAGAACUGGUUUUAUGAUGAAGCGUCACGAAGCUGCUGUUACCAGUGUCCCCCAGGUCAGUAUGUUUAUAAUUCAGUCAAAUUAACACGGA
rnacentral:lncRNA from 1 species